rnacentral:rRNA from 1 species
UACGGAGGAUGCAAGCGUUAUCCGGAAUGAUUGGGCGUAAAGGGUCCGCAGGUGGCAGUGUAAGUCUGCUGUCAAAGAAUGAGGCUUAACCUCAUCAAGGCAGUGGAAACUACACAGCUAGAGUACGGUCGGGGUAGAAGGAAUUCCUGGUGUAGCGGUGAAAUGCGUAGAGAUCAGGAAGAACACCGGUGGCGAAAGCGUUCUGCUAGACCUGUACUGACACUGAGGCGCGAAAGCGUGGGGAGCAAACAGG